UAGCAGUCAUUGUAAGCAGAUUCUUCCCUUUACCUAUGGAAGGGAACAGCUCCGGGAGCCCCUACUGACUCUGAGUUGGAAACUGCUCUCUGCCUCACGUCUCAGGCUUUCCAGACACAGGACACAUGGGACACUUACUGAAGAGCAAAAUGAGACCUGGAAUACUUACAUAAAGACAUUGGACCAGAGCACACACAACCUGCUUCUCAAGUUCAUAAGCUUCCCAGUCUAUCCUACUGUCUCCCAAAAAUGACUCCUGAUGCCUGGAGAAAAUUCUGUCCUGCUACCUAUUAAAUGACAACCUGUCAUGGAGCAAAACCUGAUAAGUUGGAUGAAUUUCCCAUUUCUGUUCAAAUCCAAUGUCUG